rnacentral:rRNA from 1 species
GAUGAACGCUGGCGGCGUGCCUAAUACAUGCAAGUCGAGCGAACGGACCAGACGUUUCCUCCUCUGAUGUUAGCGGCGGACGGGUGAGUCACACGUGGAUAACCUACCUAUAAGACAGGGAUAACUUCGGGAAACCGGAGCUAAUACCGGAAAAUAUUUUGAACAGCAUGGUUCCAGAGUGAAAGACGGUCUUGCUGUCACUUAUAGACGAAUCCGCGCUGCAUUGGCUAGUUGGUAAGGUAACGGCUUACCAAGGCAACGAGGCAUAGCCGACCCGAAAGGGAGGUCGGCCAGACGGGGACAGAGACUGGGCACAGACUCCUAGGGUGAGACACGGUAGGGAAUCUUCCGGGAUGGGGGAAAGCCGAACGGAGCAACACGGGGUGAAUCAUGAAGGUCUCCUGAUCGGAGAGCGAUGUAAGUAGUGGAGAAGAUAUGUGUAAGUAGCUGGGCACAUCUUGACGGUACCUAAACAGGAAGCCACGGCUAACUACGUG